GCCCUAAUAGUAUAGUGGCUAGUACACAUCCCUGUCACGGAUGAAACCCGAGUUCAAUUCUCGGUUGGGGCG
rnacentral:tRNA from 1 species